ACGAUAUUUAAAGGAAAAUUUUAUUCACGUUCGAAUAACUGCGACCUAUGUUCGAUAUACGCACACACUAUCUGUAUCCUCAUACAAGUAUAAUAAACAUACCAAAACUAUCCACUCAACAGGCUACCAAAAUAACAGCGCAGAACAGAAGCAGAAAUUUUCACUGGCAUUGAAUUCUUUUCGCGUUACAUUUGUUCAGUCUACUAAUACAGUAAAGUACACAUAAAAUAUUUUAAUUCAAAUCAUUUAUAGCUGAAAAUCUGUUAAGCAAUUUUUCUUCUUCUUUUCUACCUUCCAAUGGUACAUGAUACGUUUAAUAUCUAGCGCAUUUUGGCUCGAUCAAACAAAAGAGCUUUUAUGCGAAUAACUCUAAAUUUUGAAUCAAUAAGUAUCAUUUACUUCAGUUGAAGCGAAAAAAUUGAAAUUAAAUACACUUAUUGUAUGCUUUAACUGUUGUUUCCAGACAUCCUUGUGAUAAUUGUUACUUAAUUACCUAUCUAAUAUUCCAUAUUUCAUCCACAUAUGAUGCAGCAUAUGAUAAGCUUUUCAUUCAGUUAAACAAUCGUGAAUAUCUGAUUUUGUAAAAUUCAGAGUAAAUAAUGCACAUUUCAGUAAUGCCUAUUCAUUAUGAUUUAUUUGAAAUUACGUAUCGAGGUCACUGAUUCCCGUGACUAAGGUAUCCAAGAAUGCAUAAGAUCUCCCGUGGCUGGUUAGAGCGCUCUAGAACGCUGAAGAUCAAGAGAGCAAAGAGUCGGUUUAAACCGUGUGCCCCGUCCCAACGUCGACUCUAUUAAUACCCGCGCCUUGUCGUCGCGUCUCGAGAACGUGUGCACCGAUAUAGAGGCAUUAAUACGAUGAGACUGUCCUUUUAUUAAAAAAUCUUCUGGUCUUAAGAACGAAUAAACUGAACAGAAAUUAUGUUCGUGUUGAUCUUGAUACGAGUAUAUACGAAAAAAAAAGUAACAAAUCGUAACAGUAAGAUUGCUAAAAAGAAUCGAGGUGAUUUUCAUAUGUUAAAUGUGAAAAUAAUGAAACAUAUUAAAAGAAGGUUUAUCGUUCCAUCAAAAUGGAAACAUCAACAGUCUACUGUUACAAGUAAUUAAACGAAUUUACACGUUUGAUAGAAUUAUGCGUUUGAUUGCGACAAAGAUGCUUUUUCUUUCUAUAAGCUGCGUUAUUCCAUGAAAAAAUUGUAAACGAGAAGGUGCGAUCAGGUUAUCGACUUGAGUACGAGACAUGACAAGGAAGGAAGGAAAGGAGUUGCAGCUUUAACAGGACAUAUCGUAGAUGUCGUACAAGUGCAUUCGCAGUCAAUUAUGUGAUCAGCUACAACCAUUCGCUUCAUGAAGCUAUUAGGAACAAGUUUAAUAGAAUCAUCGCAUCGUUCCGAUGUGCGAUGAGUUAUCAUAAACAGUACGAGUAAAGGUAGACGGAUGCACCCUAACCAAAGGCCAUUUUCUUCGGAUUCACUCACCUUUGAUUGUACGAGAGGAUGAAAGUUACGGGAAGUCUUGUGAGAUUAAAAUAUCACCAACGAAAUCAAUCGACGAGUACAAUCCAAGAA